UCCAGCCUGUCAAGAUCUUCAGAUGAUGUUUGAGAAAAAAGUCAUCAUCCUCUUCGUCACUCUUCAUCCGUAUUUGGGGUAACAAACACCUGCUUCCCACAAGAGACUGGACCGCUGAAGUCAGGUGACCUGCACCUUCCUUGAACAUGUUGGUAACUUACUCUGUAUUUGUUCACGGUGGUCACCCCAGGGUCUCAGGACUCAAAACGAGUGCUCUAUGGAUUGAACAGAAAAUGUAGUGGAUCAACACUCCAACCAUCUGCAUUAGGGACUGAAUAAAGGAUGCCCUCUGUAGCUGGGAAUGUUAGAUCAGCAACAUGAGCAACUGUGACCAUCGACAACAGGAAGUGGGCAUGUCCAGCUAUGCCACAACGUUGAGGAAAGUUCAACUUGAUGAAGGACUUUUGGGAGCAACUACCAAUGAGAGUGAAGCAGUGAAGUUCGUGUCAUCACUCUUUUGUCAUUUACUGAGAGGAUUGUUACUCAUUUGUUUGUAGUUUUUACUAGGACAACCAGAAUUGGGAACGCCUUCUGAUAAACUCAUUAAAAGAAAUGGCUGACACACAGUGACUAGGUUGUUGGCGGUGUGAAUGCAGCAUUAGGCCUUAAACUGUCUGUGGCAAAUAUUUUUAGCACCCAAAAUAAAUAGGGGUGCUGCUUUUAAAGGAAAACACCACAGUUUUUCAAUAUUUUACUAUGUUCUUACCUCAACUUAGAUAAAUUAAUACAUCCCUAUCUUUUAUCAAUGCAUGCACUUAAUAUUUGUACAGCGCGUCGUGAAUGUGUUAGCAUUUAGC